rnacentral:tRNA from 1 species
AGCCGUGUGGCGUAGUGGUUAAGUGCUUGCACUGCCGCUCACACGGUCAGGAGUUCGAGCCUCCUGUGGGUCA